UCCUGCCGGAGGCCAUUGCUAUCGGAGUCCGAUUUAGCCAUGCUAGUCGUGCGAGUUCAGACUCGCGGCACCGAGCUCAGUAACACGUGGCCAAACUACCCUACAGAGAUGGAUACCCUCGGGAAACUGAGGUUAACCCGUCAUACCGAUCUCAGGCUUGAAUCGCAGAGAUCACAAAACGCCCCGGCGCUGUAGGAUGUGGCUGCGGUUGAUUAGGUAGACGGUGGGGUAACGGCCCACCGUGCCCAUAAUCAGUACAGGUUGUGAGAGCAAGAACCUGGAGACGGAAUCUGAGACAAGAUUCCGGGCCCUACGGGGCGCAGCAGGCGCGAAACCUUUACACUGCACGCACGUGCGAUAAGGGGACUCCGAGUGCGAGGGCAUAUCGUCCUCGCUUUCGUGUACCGUAGGGUGGUACACCAACAAGGGCUGGGCAAGACCGGUGCCAGCCGCCGCGGUAAUACCGGCAGCCCGAGUGAUGGCCGAUAUUAUUGGGCCUAAAGCGUUCGUAGCCGGCCAGUCAAGUCUGUUGGGAAAUCCACGCGCUCAACGCGUGGGCGUCCAGCGGAAACUGACUGGCUUGGGGCCGGAGGACUCGAGGGGUACGUCCGGGGUAGGAGUGAAAUCCCGUAAUCCUGGACGGACCACCGGUGGCGAAAGCGCCUCGAGAGGACGGACCCGACGGUGAGGAACGAAAGCCAGGGCCUCGAACCGGAUUAGAUACCCGGGUAGUCCUGGCCGUAAACAAUGUCUGCUAGGUGUGGCGCAGGCUACGAGCCUGCGCUGUGCCGCAGGGAAGCCGUGAAGCAGACCGCCUGGGAAGUACGUCCGCAAGGAUGAAACUUAAAGGAAUUGGCGGGGGAGCACUACAACCGGAGGAGCCUGCGGUUUAAUUGGACUCAACGCCGGACAUCUCACCAGCCCCGACAUCAGUAAUGACAGUCAUGUUGACGACAUCCACUCGAGUUGAUGAGAGGAGGUGCAUGGCCGCCGUCAGCUCGUACCGUGAGGCAUCCUGUUAAGUCAGGCAACGAGCGAGAUCCACGUUCCUAAUUGCCAGCACCACCGCACGGUGGGUGGGUACAUUAGGAAGACUGCCAGUGCUAAACUGGAGGAAGGAAUGGGCAACGGUAGGUCAGUAUGCCCCGAAUGGGCUGGGCAACACGCGGGCUACAAUGGUCAGGACAACGGGUUCCAACACUGAAAAGUGACGGCAAUCUCGCAAACCUGGUCGUAGUUCGGAUUGCGGACUGAAACUCGUCCGCAUGAAGCUGGAUUCGGUAGUAAUCGCGUGUCAGCAGCGCGCGGUGAAUACGUCCCUGCUCCUUGUACACACCGCCCGUCA
rnacentral:rRNA from 1 species